AAAACUACUUGAAUCAACUUGAUUCAUCAUCAUGAAGCUUGCUUCUACACAUUUACCAUGAUUGAAUAGUGAACAGUUUCUAAGCAUAACAUCUAGUGAUCCAUUUUUUUAUAUUAAAACCCAUUUUUUCCAUGACAGCCAAGAGAUAACUCCAUUGUACCUUAUCAAAAGUUUUACUGAUGUCUACUUUUAAGGCUAUUUCCCCUUCAUUUCCUUCAAUCUUGCACCUUAUGUGAUGAAUUAUUUAAGAGGCUACGAUAAUAUUGUCAAGGAUUGACUGACCCUUAGCGAAUGCAGAUUGUUCAAUGGAAAUGCAAAUUUGAAGGAGAGGCUUCAAUCUGUUGGCUAGUGUUUUUGGAGAUAAUUUUGUACAAGACAUUGCAUAGGAAAAUGGGUCUGUAGUCUUUUAUGGUUAUUGGGUUGUUUUUUUUAGUAUUAGGACAAUGGUGGUUUGUGUAAUUUGGGAAGGAAAUAAACCAUUUUUGAGCCACGUUAAGGCUGCCACGAAAUUGUCCAUUCCACAGAGGUUCCAAAAUUUCUUAUAAAAGGCUAGGUAUAGACCAUCUCACUACUAAAAAAAAAGCUUCAACAACGGUUUUACCAAAACCUUUGUCAUUAAAAAUCUGGUGGUAAUUUUGUAAAUAGUAGUAAAAUUACAAUGCCAUUUAAAAAAAAUGUUGUUGAAGUCAGAAAUCGAAGACGAUUCUUGGGAAAACCGUCGUUGAAAUCGCUAAUUCAAAGACGAUUUUGUAAAACCUCUUUGAAAGCCAAGUGUUUUGGCUUUGUCUCGCGCCCUUUCUUAGAGUCUCACUUCGUCUCACUAGCUCACACCCUCUCAGAGUUUCUUUGCAUCGUCUUUCACUCGUGUCUCUGUCGAAGCUGUCCAACACCACCAUUGAAUCUUUUUUUUGUUGAAGCUCGUGUGUGGCCUGGUUGUGGUUCGUUUUCCCUCAUUGCCCUUCGUCCUUGCCCUUUUCCCUUGCCCUCGCCCUCAUAGUUUUUGGAACUCGUGCUCACAAUCUCCGUCAAACAGGGAAACAAGGUUAGUCCAAAUUAUUAUUUUAUGGUCUUUUUGGGUUUAGGAAGAAAGAGAUUAGGGAUUAGGUAGGAGACGACUCAAGAGAUUUGGUUUUGGUUUUUCUACACUUUUGGCAUUUUAGAAACACAAACAGUUUCUUUGCAUAGUUUCUCUGCAAUUUAAUUUCUUGAAUUUUAUAGAAUGUUGCAAUUUUAUCUUUUUUGAAGCCCUAUCCUUGCUCGUGGAAUGCUUGCAAGGAAGCCAAUUCACUCAAGAGUUCAUUAGAUGGAAAAUUGCUGACUCAAAAGGAUCAAAACUGCAUUUGGAUGGAUUUAAUGAUGAUAUUGGACAACAAAAGAAGGAAACUUGGGCUAUGCGUGAAACAUGUG